rnacentral:rRNA from 1 species
UACGUAGGUGGCAAGCGUUGUCCGGAAUUAUUGGGCGUAAAGGGCUCGCAGGCGGUCCCUUAAGUCUGAUGUGAAAUCUUGCGGCUUAACCGCAAGCGGUCAUUGGAAACUGGGGGACUUGAGUACAGAAGAGGAGAGUGGAAUUCCACGUGUAGCGGUGAAAUGCGUAGAGAUGUGGAGGAACACCAGUGGCGAAGGCGGCUCUCUGGUCUGUAACUGACGCUGAGGAGCGAAAGCGUGGGGAGCAAAC